UCGGAUGGGCCCGGCGUGCACGGACGCGAAGGCACUGUCCCUUACAGUAGUGCCCUAAAAGAUAAUUUUUCCUUUUGACACUUUAACAGCAGCACCCACUUUCAUACCCCUUAUGCAUUCGCCUUUAAUAUGCACGGGACUACGGUCCCGUUUUGUUUCCAAUUUGCAGCGUUCUUCUCUUGAUGAGUAGGAGUGACUGCCUCAGCAGAAAAAGAACGCUUUCAUCGUUCUGUUCUUCAAAAGAAGAUACUAAGACGAUAGGUGGAAAGCAUGUGUCAUUCCAAAGACCUGUUUCCUUCUCUCAGAAUUCCUUAUUCUCUGGAAACAAAGGCUUACGAUUAGAAAUACAGGAAUGUUCCAGAUCUAUUGUUUUGAAAGCACCUGUUAUUUGUUACUGCUGGUAGCUGCAAACCCAUGGUUUACACAGUAGCCCAUUUCAGGAGAAAACUCCCCCCUUUGACACGUAGGGCACAACUUCGCUGAAUGUUCUCACCUAUACAUAGCUGUUUUAAAACCUUAUAUGUGGCAAUAGCUUCUAUGUUAAAGAGAACACCACAGAAAUUAACUCACAAGUAAUAAUGAAGCUUUCUACUAAGUUUCAAGAGAACCAGAUACCCAAUCUGUGUUCCUUUGGAUACUUGAGCAGAGGGGGAGAAAGCUCAGUCAGAGCAGAAUUGACACCUGGAGAUCUACCUGCAGAGGCAGAACUGCCCAAGAAGAACUCUCACCUGUCCCAGAAUAUCAUUUGAAGAAGUAGCAUAUUUCACAUGCUCGUAGUUAGAAGCUUCUUAUAAAAAGUACGAAAACAUUUCAAACAUCCUCUGGCUGACCUGCAGAACCAAAUCCCCUCUCGCUGCUGAGCUCACAGCAGCACACAUCCAUCAGUGCUGCCACAGAACUGCAGGGCUCAGCUCUCUGCUGACAAGCUCACAAGGUUGUCUGAUCCUGCCCAAAGCAAGCCUACAUGACAAUGAAUAAACUUCCUCCAGUCACUUCUAUACACUGUAUUUUCCACUUUUAUUAUCAGGGUGAAAUUGUACUGUAGUAAACAUUUUUUUUUUAAAAUGUGAGGAAAAGUGCAGCGUAGAAACAGGACAAUAUGAUUAUACUCUAUCUACCUUAAAAUUUGAGAUGGCUGAAAUGUGUUUGGGUUACACCUUUUUUAAAUCUGGUUGCAGUAAAGUUCUUUAAAUUGAAAUAAACAGAUUUAGCUUUUCAA